GUCAAGUUUCUGCUGUUACUUCCAACGUUCAAAGUGCUGGUCGAGAAUCUGAAUUUUUGAAAUUAUUUCUUAUUCCAUCCAGAGAUAAGGAUGAUUCCUUGAAGCCACAGUAUGAAAGCCACAUUUCAGCAUUAUGGAAUUUGCGGGAUCAGGUUUUGUCAAAGAGAGGUCCGUCUUUCUCAAGGACUGUGUCUGAGCGUGAUUGGGUGAAAAAUUCUGCCAAGAUAUG
rnacentral:misc_RNA from 1 species